CAUGUGAAAGGGAUUAGAGGCAGACAGAGAUAGGUGUACAUGUGAAAGGGAUUAGAGGGAGACAGAGAUAGGUGUACAUGUGAAAGGGAUUAGAGGCAGACAGAGAUAGGUGUACAUGUGAAAGGGAUUAGAGGGAGACAGAGAUAGGUGUACAUGUGAAAGGGAUUAGAGGGAGACAGAGAUAGGUGUACAUGUGAAAGGGAUUAGAGGGAGACAGAGAUAGGUGUACAUGUGAAAGGGAUUAGAGGGAGACAGAGAUAGGUGUACAUGUGAAAGGGAUUAGAGGCAGACAGAGAUAGGUGUACAUGUGAAAGGGAUUAGAGGGAGACAGAGAUAGGUGUACAUGUGAAAGGGAUUAGAGGGAGACAGAGAUAGGUGUACAUGUGAAAGGGAUUAGAGGGAGACAGAGAUAGGUGUACAUGUGAAAGGGAUUAGAGGGAGACAGAGAUAGGUGUACAUGUGAAAGGGAUUAGAGGGAGACAGAGAUAGGUGUACAUGUGAAAGGGAUUAGAGGGAGACAGAGAUAGGUGUACAUGUGAAAGGGAUUAGAGGGAGACAGAGAUAGGUGUACAUGUGAAAGGGAUUAGAGGGA